rnacentral:rRNA from 1 species
CCUACGGGAGGCAGCAGUGGGGAAUAUUGCACAAUGGGGGAAACCCUGAUGCAGCGACGUCGCGUGAGGGAAGAAGAAUUUCGGUACGUAAAGCUCUAUCAGCAGGGAAGAAAAGGGCGGUACCUGACUAAGAAGCCCCGGCUAACGACGUGACAGCAGCCGCGGUAAUACGUAGGGGGCAAGCGUUAUCCGGAUUUACUGGGUGUAAAGGGAGCGUAGACGGCAGCGCAAGUCUGGAGUGAAAUCCCAUGGCUUACCCCUGGAACUGCUUUGGAAACGGUGCAGCGGGAGUGCAGGAGAGGUAAGCGGCAUUCCUCGUGUAGCGGUUACAUGCGUAGAUAUUAGGCGGACCCCCAGUGGCGCAGGCGGCUUCCUGGACUGUACCUGACGUUGCGGCUCGAACGCGUGGGGAGCAAACCGGAUUAGAUACCCGAGUAGUC